AGAACGAACGCUGGCGGCAGGCUUAACACAUGCAAGUCGAACGCCCCGCAAGGGGAGUGGCAGACGGGUGAGUAACGCGUGGGAAUCUACCCAGAUCUUCGGAACAACUGAGGGAAACUUCAGCUAAUACCGGAUACGCCCUACGGGGGAAAGAUUUAUCGGUUCUGGAUGAGCCCGCGUUGGAUUAGCUAGUUGGUGAGGUAACGGCUCACCAAGGCGACGAUCCAUAGCUGGUCUGAGAGGAUGAUCAGCCACACUGGGACUGAGACACGGCCCAGACUCCUACGGGAGGCAGCAGGUGGGGAAUUUGGACAAGUGGACGCAAGUCUG
rnacentral:rRNA from 1 species